UGCCAGACUCCUACGGGAGGCAGUAGUGGGGAAUAUUGCACAAUGGGGGAAACCCUGAUGCAGCGACGCCGCGUGAGUGAAGAAGUAUUUCGGUAUGUAAAGCUCUAUCAGCAGGGAAGAAAUAGCGACCUUUGGGUCGCCAGACGGUACCUGAUUAAGAAGCCCCGGCUAACUACGUGCCAGCAGCCGCGGUAAUACGUAGGGGGCAAGCGUUAUCCGGAUUUACUGGGUGUAAAGGGAGCGCAGGCGGCACGGCAAGCCUGAUGUGAAAGCCCGCGGCCCAACCGCGGGACUGCAUUGGGAACUACCGGGCUGGAGUGCCGGAGAGGUAGGCGGAAUUCCUAGUGUAGCGGUGAAAUGCGUAGAUAUUAGGAGGAACACCAGUGGCGAAGGCGGCCUACUGGACGGUGACUGACGCUGAGGCUCGAAAGCGUGGGGAGCAAACAGGAUUAGAUACCCCCGUAGAG
rnacentral:rRNA from 1 species